UUUAAAUUCCUCUUCCCGUGGCUGUCUCCAUCCGUGCCUCUUAGUCAAUUGUUGCGCUUUGACCAUUUAACCAAAUCACGUGUCAUGUCACGUCAUCUUUAAUAUAAACUCAGUUUUUUCCCAAUACAUUAAUGUCACGUAAGCUUGGUCAAUGAUUAGAAUCAUUUAAAGUACUAGUUUUGAUCGAGUUGAGAUGUUUGGAUGGAACUUUGUGGAGUAUAUGGACCGAAAUAUCAAACCGAAGCAAGUACAAGUAUCUCCUAGCCUAUUUUGACUAAUAGUUAGUGUAAUUCUUAGAUUUAGUCACUAAAGCUAAUUUAAGGUAUAUUUAGUCGCCUUCUUAGAUAUCUAUAUAUACCAUAACACCUAUUUAAAUUUCUUGUGGUUCGACCUCGGUUCUUAAUUGGAUUAUUAUUGCAACGACCGUUGUACUUCUCCUUUGGAGGUGCAUGAGUGGUUUACUUAAAAAUAAAUUUGUGCAAGAGUUAUAAUUCAAAACUUAAUUAAACAUCAUACUUCGAAAUGAAAAACUUGACCAGUAAGCUAUUGCACCAUGGACAACUGCCCUCUUCCUCUAAUGUGGGGCUACAGUAUUUUAUUUAUUUCUAAAUAAAAGCAACAAGUCAUGCGAAAAGUAAAAUGUAAAUUUCUACAUAAAGAACUUGAAGACGAUAAAAAAGAAGACAAUGAUAAAAGGAAUCACGGAAUAGAAAUUGUCGGACCUUGAUGCUGGAGGAUCACCUGCCGAACGUGUUGGUGUCACCUCAUAAUUUGAAUAUGAAUUAUAAUUGCUAAAUGAUGGUGGAUCCUGACGAAUUUGGUUUGGUGAUCGCUCAUUAUAAUUAUUUCUUCGUUUAUUAUUUCGAUUUGAUGCAACGCGGUCUGUAGAUGGUUUAUUGCUCCUAGGUAAACGUGGAGGAUCGUUGAAUAUCUUUCCUUCUUUUUGGAUAAAUACAGAUGGACAGUUCUCCUUCCUGUUUUGAUGUCGCAAAUUGCCUACCACAGCCAUAAUUGACUGUUGUGUUGUUGAAUUUUCGGAAUCCAUCUUUCAGAUCUCUGCGAUUAUUUCCUUUUCCGAUUUUCCAAUCCCUGAUAAAACAAAUACAGCUUCUAAAUCAAAAUUAUAAAUCAUCAAAAUACAACAACAAUUCAGUGAAAUCUCAUGACUAGUGGAGUUUGGGGAGGGUAGUGUGUAUCCGAGCCUUACCCCUAUCCCAAAGAAGAGAGAAGUUGUUUCCAAUAGCUGAAGGUAAAUCAUCAAAAUAAAGUGCUGAUAUUACGUAAAAAGUUUUAUUAUCAAAAUUUGUGGUCUAAAGAGCGCAAGAAGUUUAUAUGUUUGCAAUUUUGGCUCAAAUCUUGAAAACACAAUAAUAACUGAAAAUACCUAAGUGAAAUAUCCGUAGAGAGAACAAAAGUAGUAACAGUAAUAAGUAAUAGCAGUAGUACUGUCUUUACAAACACAAAAUCUUUUGCUUUUUCACUACAAGCUUUGUUUAAUAGUAAGAACGAAGCUUUUAGGAAAAAGAAAUCUAGCUUGCUUUUACAGCCAGAAAAAAUAGCAGAAAAAUUUCAGGAGCGAAAGAGGAAAAUAGGAAAAACCAAACCCAAACUAAUUACCUUCUUAGUAUGAGUAGACAAAAUUGCACACGGAAAGGACUUGAGGCUUGUCAUUUAUAGUGUCAGAUCUGGCUUUACGAAACAACGAAAGAGUUGACCGAAAACAAAAGGGAAAAAAGGACGAGAUACGGAAUAAGGAGUGCGAAAAAUUUCCGCCAUCCUUGUUUGAAGUCCGAGUUAUUCCCUUAAAAAAAAAUGAUCCUACGUUUAUGGUGCAAAUAGAUGUUUUUAUAUUUUGGGAAAUUUUCAGGAAGGGUGAAAAUCAUCUAUACCCCCGAACUUUAUUUUAAAAAUCAAACUCUC
rnacentral:lncRNA from 1 species